rfam:Glycine soja cultivar W05 scaffold3426_54, whole genome shotgun sequence.
CCGACCUUAGCUCAGUUGGUAGAGCGGAGGACUGUAGUUGGUUUGUGUCUGCAGCCAAUCCUUAGGUCGCUGGUUCGAAUCCGGCAGGUCGGA